ACCUGCAGAUCCGCGGCUCUAUGUGGGUCUGAUUCUUUCCAUCCUGAUCAUCAUGUUAGCAGCAGCUCUGCUCAUCUUCUUCAAGUGGAAGAGCUUCAGUCAACAGAAAGGUCCAGAAGAAACAGAGUACUGCAACUUCUCUGAGGCUAAAGAUGGUGCAGUAGAGUACUCUGAGCUGAAACUGAAGAAUGAUGCCACUAGUUCACCCAGCAGCGCCCCCUGUGGUCAGGCAGAUAAUGUGACCUACUCUGAGCUUAAGGUAGCA